rnacentral:tRNA from 1 species
UCCGGGUUAGCUCAGUUGGUAGAGCAGGUGGCUGUUAAUCACUUGGUCGUUGGUUCGAGUCCUUCACCCGGAGCCA